GGGCAUGACUAAAUCGCCUGAGCGUACUGUAACCCAUAUCGCUGAGGUAUUUAUUCAUGUUGAG
rnacentral:pre_miRNA from 1 species